CCUACAAUUUCUAGUAGCCACAGCCUUUCCGUACGUCUAGCCAGCAAGUCCCUCACAUUUUUCUACGUAUACUGGUCGGCCUUAGCUCUCGUGUGGUGCAAGUGGUGCAACCCUUGCCAUCACUAGAUCGUAGCUAUGAAAUUAUUGUACGAAAGAACUAUUGCAGUAGCAUCGGUUGCAGAACGGAGUAAAGAAACAUAGGGCAUAGAAAUCCUCUUGGAGAAACAAUUGAUUGCUGAGAGCACAACAGAUGAGGAAGAAUUUGUUGAUAAAGUCCCAGUUGAAAGAGUUUGCUAGUUGGAGAUUGAAAGUCCAAGCUCAUCAAUGGCCAGGGUUAUUAGCAGCCACGGUCUGCUCUUCUUCGUACAACAAUGUGUUGAUCUAUUUCAGCAAGAAAGGAUGAGAAAAAUCAGUAUUUCCGACACUGUUGAUUUUAUUGUUUUGCGAUAGAGGGAGUGCUAAGAAACUUCAGCAGGAGGUUUUUUUUUUUU